UACGUAGGAUCCAAGCGUUGUCCGGAUUUACUGGGUGUAAAGGGUGCGUAGGAGGGCAGGUAAGUCAGUGGUGAAAUCUCCGAGCUUAACUUGGAAACUGCCGUUGAUACUAUCUGUCUUGAAUAUUGUGGAGGUGAGCGGAAUAUGUCAUGUAGCGGUGAAAUGCGUAGAUAUCUGGAGGAACACCGGUGGCGAAGGCGGCGUCCUGGACCAACACUGACACUGAUGAGCGAAAGCCAGGGGAGCAAACGGG
rnacentral:rRNA from 1 species